UAGCAGAAUGUGAAGGUCAGCCAGAUCUGGA
rnacentral:piRNA from 1 species